UGGGGUGUGAUUCUCCAGCUAGGUGCGGUUGCGUUCGAAGCGACGCGUUUGGUAAUGAUUCAGAUAUUACUUGCGUCUAAAGGAAUCACGUUGAACCCUAUCACUUCUCUUUAUUACGUUGCACCUUGUUGUUUGGCUUUCUUGUCUGUUCCUUGGAUUGUUGUGGAGUUUCCUGUCCUGAGAGACACCUCUAGCUUCCAUUUCGACUACCUCGUGUUCGGGACCAACUCGUUCUGUGCGUUUGCUUUGAAUCUUGCUGUUUUUCUUUUGGUGGGGAAGACAUCUGCCUUGACCAUGAAUGUUGCUGGUGUGGUUAAGGACUGGCUCUUGAUCGCCUUCUCAUGGUCGGUGAUUAAGGACACUGUGACUCCUAUUAAUCUUUUUGGUUACGGGAUUGCGUUCUUGGGCGUUGCUUAUUACAAUCACGCUAAGUUAAGAGCAUUGAAGGCUAAAGAGGCUCAGAAGAGUGCUCAGCAGAGUGAUGAAGAGAGUGGUCGGCUUUUGGAAGAGAAGGAAGGUGGGAGGAAGAACGAGCCAGAUAAUUAGUAAGGUGAAAAAAUUGGUUUGGUUUUGAAUUUUUUUCCUGCUUAAAUUGCAUUUUUGUUGGAAUAAGAGCUUAAAGGGUUUAUAGUAGAUGUUAGACAAAGUUUGGUUUAUGAUAGUCAGACUUAAGAAUGACAAAUUGCCUUGAUGGAGAAUCUGAGUUUAGGUUAUGAUCUAUUUGUCUAACUUACUGAUUUGGCUACCUAUGGAUUGUAGAUUGCUUGGAUCAUAUAUAUCUUCACACUAAGUAAUAACCUGCACUGCACAUGAUAAUUAAAAAAAAAAAUUAAUUAUUUUGUAAUCUAUUAUAUUAAAACAGAAGUCACAACUUCUCUUCAUGUGUAAUUUUUUUUAAAUGGACCUUCCUAGAAAAUUAUAUUUCAUUUAAUUCUAAUUAACAUUAUGACAUCAUUAAAAUAUCGCAUCUUAAAUAAUUGACAUAUGUAACAACUCACCUAUAAAAUUGUCUUAUUUUUUAAUUAUAAAAAUAUGUUGAGAAAAAAAUCUACAAAAUCUUAUUAGAUAUUUUAAAUAUUAUUAUAAAAUAUAGUGUUUGUGUGGUCAGUAAGAGAAGGGUGUGGCUAGGAACAUUCAACACGGCGGAGGAAGCGGCUAAAGCCUACGACCAAGCAGCGGUUAUAAUGAAUGGCCAUAACGCGAAGACCAACUUUCCCGUCAUCAAAUCCAACGACUCAGAUUCUUCAGACAUCAACUCUCUCUCAAGGUCGCCUAAAUGGUUAUCAGAACACCUCAACGCUAAGCUAAGGAAAAACUGUAAAGACCAGACACCAUAUCUGACAUGUCUCCGCCUCGAUAACGACAGCUCACACAUCGGCGUCUGGCAGAAACGCGCCGGGUCAAAAACAACUCAAAACUGGGUCAAGCUUGUUGAACUUAGCGACGGCGUUAACGCACGGGCCGGUGAUGUUGGGAUUAAUAAGAUGAAGAAAAAAAUCGACGACGUUGAGGAAGAAGAUCAGAUGGCAAUGCAGAUGAUCGAGGAGCUUCUCAACGGACUAAAAUCUGAAAUGGACCAAAAGGCCAAAAAAGAGUCUCAGUGGCAAUGCAGAUGAUCGAGGAGCUUCUCAACUGGACUUGUCCUGCUUCUGCAUCCAUUUCAGGUCUUCACUAGAUAUAUUAUUAUAAAGUUAGUUAUAAUUAAUUUAUGGAGCUUUGAAAAAAUACGGAGCUUUAGUCAAAUACAUUUCGAAUAUAUAUAUGAUAAUCUAUAGGCCAUAUAAGCGCACAUAUACGUAAAUACCUUUUCAAAUGUAUACAACUGAUGCCAAAAAAAAUGUAUACAACUUUGUCUGCAUGUAUUAUGUAUACUACGUUAUAAAUAGUAUUCUACUUUUUUUUUUAAAUAGUAUUCUACUUGAUUACAAAGAGUUUAUUAUCUCUGUUGUAUUCGUCGACAUGAUAUAAUUACAUAGAGCAGACCGACAAGACAUGGUACAAUUGUAAGGAAGCUAAUUAAUUCGUUGAUUAAAGAAGAGUCAAAAGUAAAUGUGAAAGAGACUAGUCACUCUUUCUAAAUCCAUCUGCAAAUUAGAUUCAUGUGAUUCGAGUGUUUAGUCUUACCUCGACCAAGAAAGCGUUUACCAUUUAACAUGGUUACUACUAUAGUGUCUAUCGGUCAAAUUCUCCUCUCGUUUAUAUUUGACUUGUCAUAAUAUGUUUUCGACUAUCUAUAUCGUAUCAAUGCUUCCCUUUAUCCCUUAUAUAGGGCUCUGUUGAACUGAGUCUCUGCCAACUUUAUGUCCACGGAUCUACUCUUUUUCCUUGUUAUGUAUUUCACAGUGUAAUAUUCUUUUUUGUGUACGAUAUAAAAUUUCAGUUGACCAAAAAAAGAAGCAAGCACCGUGGAAAAAAAUAAAGGGUUUUAAUUAGGAGAGUAAUUGUAAAAGUAGGUGUACAAUUAAUCGCUAACCCUUCUCAAAAAGUGUAUGUUAUGAUAAUUAAACUUUUAAAAGUGUUACAUUGUGCAAAUAUCCCAUAAUUACUAUAUCAUUUAUAGAUGAGAAUAUAGAUAUUGUUUUCUUAUAAUAUGAAUAUUGUUUAAUCGGUAAUUAGAAGAAAUUUAUAAGUUGGUCCGUUACGUGGGGAGUCUUUGUGUUUGGUAAACACUCGAAACGUAUUUUCAGGAUCUCACACCAAAAAAAUCACCAACUCACUCGCUCAACCACCGUCUUCGCCGUAGAACCACCGCCUCCGCCGAUAGAAUCUGUAUUAAUAAAUUUUAGCCAAUGGGGAAAGGCGGAUCACUGAGCGAAGGCGUGAUUAAAAACAUCAUCCUCUCGUACACUUACGUGGCGAUAUGGAUCUUCCUCAGCUUCACCGUGAUCGUCUACAACAAAUACAUCCUCGACAAGAAGAUGUACAACUGGCCAUUCCCCAUCUCCCUAACCAUGAUCCACAUGUCCUUCUGCUCAACCCUAGCUUUCCUCCUCAUCAAGGUCUUCAACUUCGUCGAGCCUGUCUCAAUGUCACGCGACACUUACCUCAGAUCAGUCGUUCCUAUCGGCGCGUUGUACUCACUCUCCCUCUGGCUCUCCAACUCGGCCUACAUCUACCUUUCCGUCUCCUUCAUCCAGAUGCUCAAGGCCUUGAUGCCUGUCGCUGUUUACUCCAUCGGUGUCUUGUUUAAGAAGGAAGGUUUUAAGCCGGAGACAAUGGUUAACAUGUUGUCUAUCUCCUUCGGCGUCGCGAUAGCUGCUUACGGUGAAGCUAGGUUUGAUGUGUGGGGUGUGAUUCUCCAGCUAGGUGCGGUUGCGUUCGAAGCGACGCGUUUGGUAAUGAUUCAGAUAUUACUUGCGUCUAAAGGAAUCACGUUGAACCCUAUCACUUCUCUUUAUUACGUUGCACCUUGUUGUUUGGCUUUCUUGUCUGUUCCUUGGAUUGUUGUGGAGUUUCCUGUCCUGAGAGACACCUCUAGCUUCCAUUUCGACUACCUCGUGUUCGGGACCAACUCGUUCUGUGCG
rnacentral:lncRNA from 1 species